UUAAAUUUUCAGUUUAGUAGAAGAUUGCUUUCGAAAAUCAUGAAGAUUUUGUUUCUCUUCACAUUAUUUGUGAUUUACGUGAAAGUUUCUAAUGGAUCUGAUUGUGAAAAUGACUGGAUCGCGUAUAACGAAGACUUGUGUCUCAAAUUAUUUUA